rnacentral:rRNA from 1 species
UCCUACGGGGGGCAGCAGUGGGGAAUAUUGGGCAAUGGGCGCAAGCCUGACCCAGCAACGCCGCGUGAAGAAAGAAGGCUUUCGGGUUGUAAACUUCUUUUCUCAGGGACGAAGAAAGUGACGGUACCUGAGGAAUAAGCCACGGCUAACUACGUGCCAGCAGCCGCGGUAAUACGUAGGUGGCAAGCGUUAUCCGGAUUUAUUGGGUGUAAAGGGCGUGUAGCCGGGCCGGCAAGUCAGAUGUGAAAUCCCAAGGCUCAACCUUGGAACUGCAUUUGAAACUGUCGGUCUUGAGUAUCGGAGAG